UACGAAGGGGGCUAGCGUUGCUCGGAAUGACUGGGCGUAAAGGGCGCGUAGGCGGUUUGUUUCGUUAGGCGUGAAAUUCCUGGGCUCAACCUGGGGACUGCGCUUAAGACAAGCAGACUGGAGUGUGAAAGAGGGUCGUGGAAUUCCCAGUGUAGAGGUGAAAUUCGUAGAUAUUGGGAAGAACACCGGGUGGCGAAGGCGGCGACCUGGUUCAUUACUGACGCUGAGGCGCGAAAGCGUGGGGAGCAAACAGG
rnacentral:rRNA from 1 species